rnacentral:rRNA from 1 species
GUGACCCUACGGGGCGCAGCAGUGAGGAAUAUUGGUCAAUGGGAGAGAUCCUGAACCAGCCAAGCCGCGUGAGGGAAGACGGCCCUAUGGGUUGUAAACCUCUUUUGUCGGAGAACAAAACCCGGGACGUGUCCCGGACUGCGUGUAUCCGAAGAAAAAGCAUCGGCUAACUCCGUGCCAGCAGCCGCGGUAAUACGGAGGAUGCGAGCGUUAUCCGGAUUUAUUGGGUUUAAAGGGUGCGUAGGCGGUCCUUUAAGUCAGCGGUAACAUUGCGGGGCUCAACCCCUUCGCGCCGU